AGGAACUUCUACAUGCUCUAGGUGUGUAGGGCCCCACCCAUGGCAUAUGGAGUUCCCAG
rnacentral:precursor_RNA from 1 species